GAUGAACGCUAGCUACAGGCUUAACACAUGCAAGUCGAGGGCAGCAUGAACUUAGCUUGACUAAGUUUGAUGGCGACCGGCGCACGGGUGAGUAACACGUAUCCAACCUUCCGUUUACUCAGGGAUAGCCUUUCGAAAGAAAGAUUAAUACCUGAUAGUAUGGUGAGAUUGCAUGAUAACACCAUUAAAGAUUUAUUGGUAAACGAUGGGGAUGCGUUCCAUUAGGUAGUAGGCGGGGUAACGGCCCACCUAGCCUGCGAUGGAUAGGGGUUCUGAGAGGAAGGUCCCCCACAUUGGAACUGAGACACGGUCCAAACUCCUACGGGAGGCAGCAGUGAGGAAUAUUGGUCAAUGGGCGAGAGCCUGAACCAGCCAAGUAGCGUGAAGGAUGAAGGUCCUACGGAUUGUAAACUUCUUUUAUACGGGAAUAAAGUUUCCUACGUGUAGGAUUUUGUAUGUACCGUAUGAAUAAGCAUCGGCUAACUCCGUG
rnacentral:rRNA from 1 species